rnacentral:rRNA from 1 species
GCCGGCGAGUGGACGAACGGGUGAGUAAUAUAUACGGAACGUUACCUUCAGGUGGGGGAAUAACGUAGCGAAAGUUACGCUAAUACCGCAUAUUCUGUGAGCAGGAAAGCAGGGGAUCGCAAGACCUUGCGCUGAUUGAGCGGCCGAUAUCAGAUUAGCUAGUUGGUGAGGUAAAGGCUCACCAAGGCGACGAUCUGUAGCGGGUCUGAGAGGAUGAUCCGCCACACUGGAACUGAGACACGGUCCAGACUCCUACGGGAGGCAGCAGUGGGGAAUUUUGGACAAUGGGCGCAAGCCUGAUCCAGCCAUGCCGCGUGAGUGAAGAAGGCCUUCGGGUUGUAAAGCUCUUUCGGCCGGGAAGAAAUCGCACGGGUUAAUACCCUGUGUGGAUGACGGUACCGGAAUAAGAAGCACCGGCUAACUACGUG